rnacentral:rRNA from 1 species
AUGCUGGAAUGCACUUAGUCUGAAAACUCCGGUGCCUAAGGAUGAAUCUGCGGACUAUCAGGUUGUAGUCAGGGUAAUGACCUGACUAGCCUAUGACGGACAUGGGUUGUGGGAGCAAUAACCCAGAGAUGAUAUCUGAGACACGAUAUCAGGCCCUACGGGGCGCAGCAGGCGCGAAAACUUCGCAAUGUGCGAAAGCACGACGAGGGAAUCCCAAGUGCUUGCACGUAAGUGUAAGCUGUUUCUCUGUUUAAAACGCAGAGAGAGUAAGGGCUGGGUAAGACGGGUGCCAGCCGCCGCGGUAAUACCUGCAGCUCAAGUGGUGGCCGUUAUUAUUGGGCCUAAAACGUCCGUAGCCGGUUUAUUAAAUGCCUGGGUAAAUCGGACCGCUUAACGGUUCGAAUUCCGGGUAGACUGAUAAACUUGAGACCGGGAGAAGUUAGAGGUACUCCUGGGGUAGAGGUGAAAUUCUGUAAUCCUAGGGGGACCACCAGUGGCGAAAGCGUCUAACUAGAACGAGUCUGACGGUGAGGGACGAAGCCCUGGGGCGCAAACGGGAUUAGAUACCCCGGUAGUCCAGGGUGUAAACGCUGCUUGCUUGAUGUUAGUCGGGCUCCGAGCCCGAUUAGUGUCGGAGAGAAGUUGUUAAGCAAGCU